GAUGAACGCUAGCUACAGGCUUAACACAUGCAAGUCGCGGGGCAGCAUGGGGGUUGCUUGCAAUCCCCGAUGGCGACCGGCGCACGGGUGAGUAACGCGUAUCCAACCUGCCCUUCACCACGGGAUAACCCGGCGAAAGUCGGACUAAUACCGUAUGUUGUCCAUUGACGGCAUCCGAUUUGGACGAAAGGUUUGGCGGUGAAGGAUGGGGAUGCGUCCGAUUAGCUGGACGGCGGGGUGACGGCCCACCGUGGCGACGAUCGGUAGGGGUUCUGAGAGGAAGGUCCCCCACACUGGAACUGAGACACGGUCUAGACUCCUACGGGAGGCAGCAGUGAGGAAUAUUGGUCAAUGGGCGUAAGCCUGAACCAGCCAAGUAGCGUGCAGGAUGACGGCCCUAUGGGUCGUAAACUGCUUUUAUGCGGGGAUAAAGUGGCCCACGUGUGGGUUUUUGCAGGUACCGCAUGAAUAAGGACCGGCUAAUUCCGUG
rnacentral:rRNA from 1 species